rnacentral:tRNA from 1 species
CUCCUGUGCAGGUUCGACUCCUGCUUUUCUA